rnacentral:lncRNA from 1 species
GCUCGUUUGUAUGUAUAUUGCAUUGUUUUUUUUUGUUUGUUGCACUUCAUUUAUUAUUCGACGUUUUCUUAUAGUUGGUGUGUUUACCCGUCAAACGGUGUGUUUAGUGCUUAAAUUUUUAACCUGGGUCAUGUUAUUUGUGAAAGGGGUGAGCGUAGAUACAAGUAUCUUGUCUAAGGGAGAGAUAAAUCCUACAAAAUGUACAAUGUAAAGGAUCACUCGAUUCAAACCAAAAAAAUAUUUAAAAUUGACAUGUUUGUGCCUGUCCCGAGUCGUGAGCCUGUAAUUCAGUGGUUGUCGUUUUCUUUUGUUACAAAUUUGUUUUUCGUUCAUUUUUUUAUAUAUAAAUAAGGCCGUUAGUUUUCUCGUUUGAAUUGUUUUACAUUGUCCUAUAGAGGGCUUUUAUAGCUGACUAUGCGGUAUGGUCUUUGCUCAUUGUUGAAGGCCGUACGGUGACCUAUAGUUGUUUAUGUCUG